rnacentral:rRNA from 1 species
UACGUAGGGCGCAAGCGUUGUCCGGAAUUAUUGGGCGUAAAGCGAACGUAGGCGGUUUCUUAAGUUUGGUCUUAAAGACCGGGGCUCAACCCCGGGAAUGGACUGAAAACUGGGAGACUGGAGGAUGUCAGAGGAAAGUGGAAUUCCGAGUGUAGCGGUGAAAUGCGUAGAUAUUCGGAGGAACACCAGUGGCGAAAGCGACUUUCUGGGGCAUUCCUGACGCUGAGGUUCGAAAGCUCGGGGAGCAAACAGG